GGGAAACAGCCCAGAUCACCAGUUAAGGCCCCUAAAUAUAUGCUAAGUGGCAAAGGAUGUAAAUAGACGUAGACAACCAGGAGGUUUGCUUAGAAGCAGCCAAGUUCCUUUAAAAAGUGCGUAAUAGCUUACUGGUCAAGUCCAUUUGCGCCGAUAAUGUAUGGGACUAAGCAUUUUGCCGAAACUGUGAGUUUACGGUAGGAGAGCGUUCUGCUUGGGCUGAAGUAAAAAUGGAAGUUUUUAUGGACUUAGCAGAAGUGAGAAUGUCGGCUUAAGUAACGAAAACACUAGUGAGAAUCUAGUGCUCCGAAAACCAAAGGAUUCCUUUGCAAGGUUCGUCCACAAAGGGUUAGUCAGGUCCUAAAAUGAGGCUUAAAAGCGUAGUUGAUGGAAAACAGGUUAAUAUUCCUGUACUGCACCUAGUUUGAUUAAGGGUGACGAAAGAGGUUAUGGUCAGCCAGUUUUUUGGAAUCUGGUUUAAGCUUUCGAGGUAUUGAGAAGUAUUAAUAAAAGAUACUUUGAGCUGAGAAGCAAAUAUUUUUUUACUAAGGUAAAGAAAUGACUUUAGUCAUGUUUCCUAGAAAAACCCUAGCAAUUCCAUUAACUAGAAUGCACCUGUACCUUAAACUGACACAGGUCGGUAGGUAGAGUAUACUAAGGAGAGCGAGAUAACCCUUUUUAAGGAACUCGGCAAAAUGGCCUUGUAACUUCGGGAGAAAAGGUGCCCUGGUCAAAACCAGGGUUGCAGCGAUCAGAUCCAGGCGACUGUUUAUCAAAAACACAGGUCUCCGCAAAGUUGAAAAACUAUGUAUGGGGGCUGACGCCUGCCCAGUGCCGGAAGGUGAAAGAAACUUGUUAGCUUUCGCGAAGCUCGUGACUUAAGCCCCGGUGAACGGCGGCAGUAACUAUAACUGUCCUAAGGUAGCGAAAUUCCUUGUCGGGUAAGUUCCGACCUGCACGAAAGGGCGUAACGAUCUGGAUACUGUCUCAAAAAGGGACUCGGUGAAAUAGAACUAACUGUGAAGAUGCGGUUAACUUACACUUGGACAGAAAGACCCUAUGAAGCUUUACUGUAGUUUGAAAUUGAUUUUCGACUUUCUUUGCGCAGAAUAGGUGGGAGGCUUUGAUUUAUUCCUUCCGGGGAAUAUUGAGCCGUCCGUGAGAUACCACUUUAAGAAAGUUAAAAAUCUAAUUGCGUUUCCUUAUAGGGACGCUUGACCCUUUCAGAUGGGCAGUUUUACUGGGGCGGUAGCCUCCUAAAAGGUAACGGAGGCUUACAAAGGUUUUCUCAAGCUGGUCGGAAAUUAGCUUUGGAGUGUAAAGACAUAAGAAAGCUUAACUGUUAGACUUAUAAGUCAAGCAGUGACGAAAGUCGGUCUUAGUGAUCCGACGUUACUUAAUGGGAAGGACGUCGCUCAAAAGAUAAAAGUUACUCUAGGGAUAACAGGCUGAUCUCCCCCAAGAGUUCACAUCGACGGGGAGGUUUGGCACCUCGAUGUCGGCUCAUCGCAACCUGGAGCGGUAGUACGUUCCAAGGGUUGGGCUGUUCGCCCAUGAAAGCGGUACGUGAGCUGGGUUCAGAACGUCGAGAGACAGUUCGGUCCAUAUCCGGUGUAAGCGUUGGAGUAUUGAAAGGAACUUUUUCUAGUACGAGAGGACCGAAAAGGACACACCAAUGGUGUACCAGUUCUUAUGCCAAUAGGACACGCUGGGUAGCUAUGUGUGGAGUGGAUACUGC
rnacentral:rRNA from 1 species